CCAUUUUCUUCAAGCUAAGAGCCAAAUAUAUGCUGAGAUUUUGAAGUGAAAAUACUCUCCCAAAGUUUAUUCAAGCACCCACCAUAUUUACUUCAUCUUUAAAACCUUCGAUUCUUCAUAUACUUCGUUAUAUACACAAGGUUUUAAACCCCGAGGCUUCGUUCCAACCAACCUAGCCAAAUCUCGCCUAGCUCAUUUUCAUACCACUCUUUUUGUCCUCCCGAAGGGCUCUCCAAAGUUCGUGUGCAAAGCCAAAAUCCGGUCGAACCUCCGACGAAUUUUUCCGGCGAACUUUUUGUAAGUGGUUAUUUUAGCUUCGUUUUAUUCGUGUCUUAACCGACCAUUUUUAACAAAGGGCUUUUGAACAAAAAUAUUCUCUUCAUCUUUAAAGCUCUCCUUGUUUACAAAACACACGAGUUAGCCACUCGUUGUAUAUUUGUGCGUGUGUUUUGUCCCGGAACCUAACUCGUAUCCUUUGAGAUUUCCUCACCAAACUUUGGAGGGAUCUUUGCCUUGGCACGGAAAGCCGGAUAUAAGGCCAAAGGUAAUAAGUUAGUUAUUGUUGUGCGUGUUAUCUGUGCUUAACUGAUUAUAUCCCUACGCCCAACAUACCCUUUCUCGUUUGGUGAACGUUUCCAUAUGUGCUGUGCUUCGUGGAAAUACUAACCUUACGAGUUUAGCGGUUCCCGAUCCCGUGUGUGUGAGUGUGAUUAUCGACUGCGUCUUAUAUCUAUAAAUCACUACACACUAAUUAAUAUAACUCUCGUAGCUUGCCCGUACGCGGUUUGCUCAGGUUAUUAAAAUCAAUCCGACUUAAAAUCAACUAUUUAUAUUUUCCGCGCAAUAUAAAUUGUUGGACUGUUGUUGGACACUUGUUGGACUAAUCACCGUUAGAUUUGUUAUAAUUGACGAACCUUAUACCUGACCGUGAUUAUUGGACUUACUUAGCGGACUAAAAUCUUAUUAAAACAAGGACAUAUAUUUUCGUAGAUAUUGUUUUCUAACUUUUGCAGUGAGGUGAAGUGAAGUGAGGUGAUCUUCGUUCUAAGACCCAAGUCCUUGACGUAUUGACGGGGAGUUAAUAGUCAUUGCACCGUGAAGAAGAGGAAAGACCCGAGAUCUAAUACCUAAGACCCAAGACCGGCAAAAGGUGUAGAAGUACAAAGACUACACAAGGUUCUACAUCGACUUUGAGGAAGUAACGGGGAGUUACGUUCCGAGACAAGCUUUGUAGGUGUUUUUACAUUUAUAGUGAGGAGGUAACGGGAAGUUACGCUCCAAGAUAUAUAUUUGUAAAGGCUUCUCCGCCUACUUUAAAGGAGUAUCUUUUUAGUAGAGAAAAUCUCGAGUCCGGGGAGGAGCUCGGGGACUGGACUAGGGGUGAGUGGACUCCAUCGGUUGAGUUAGCCACCGCGAACCAGGAUAAAAUCCCUCGUGUGCAGAGAACAUCAUGAUUUCUCAAUGGUGAGAAAUCCCCGUUGCUCCAGUUCACACAGCAUCAGAAGACAACUAGAGUCUAAAGAACAUUUCUUGUCUGGCCGUGCUUGUCCAUUGACUACAACAGUACAGCGGUCUGGAAUGGUCAAGGCAACGGCCACUGUGCUCUCCUGCACACAUCAUACAGAGAGAUUCACGGCCCACCUUUAUUCCGGUUGAUUGGUUUGAUCAUUAUUUUUACAUCUUUGCUGUGAGUUUGCAACAAACUCCAUCCAUUCCUUAAUAUAACAAAGAGAGAUGUGCCAAGUGAGUUUCUUAUUCUGAUAUGUUUCUUCCUUAAACAAGUGAUUUGACUGCCCCGCUGGACUGCAUAAUCGGAUACUAAUUACAGAUAUAUAACAUAAUCAUGUUAACCAGCGGUUUGUCCCUAUUGUAUUUCAAGAAUUAAUAGGCAAGCAGUUACAUCUGCCUAGAAUUUGUACAGGCAACUAAAUACCUAUGUUCACAAAGAUAUCGUCAUAUUACUAA